rnacentral:lncRNA from 1 species
AAUUAUCGUGUUUCAACAUUUGAAAUCAAGUUGUUAUAUUUAUAAAAAUUGUCUUGAAAAGGAUGAAUAUAUAUAUAUAUACACAUAAUUGUAGAGAACAUACAAAAAUAAACACCCUAGAACUUCAAAGGUUGUUGAUGGUAGAAGGCAACAUUCAGUUUUGGGAAGAUUUCUUGGGAGUUUUUUCUCGGAUACUCAUGUGUCCUUCUUGAACCUGUUGGUGAAUUAUGGAAAAAAUAGUGAGUUGGUACAUAUAUUUUCAUUUAUGGACUGAUUUGUAUUUGUAUCUUUUUUCACAAAUGGAACUUUAUGUAAAGAUACAAGAAGAACUUUAAGCAGAAUCAUAAGUGCAGGUUUUGACUCACCAUUAUCAUAACAAUUGUUUUAUAGAUUAUUGUUAAGUCUUAACAAAGUAGAACAUGACAUACAUGAUGCCUGUGAAGUUUGUUGUGUCCUAGAAUUAGAGCAUUAGACUAGAAAUAGUAUGGUAUGCACAUUGGACAUGAAGCGUCUGUUCGGCAUACAAUAUAGUGAGAUUACUAAUUAGAAAUAGCAGCUAGGCAAGGCGUAAUGCCUUAAAUCAAGUAUUCUCUUUAGGCCCAUUGAGAACGAAAGUCACUUUCUUCAAAGUAAAGCAGUAGAACUCUGUCUAAACUUGUGUUUCCUUAAUUAAAAAAAUUGUAUGGUGACCAGAAUCACUAAAAAUUUUGAAAAUUUAUGGUAACCAAACACUCACCUGAGUUUCCUUCAAGCGAUCACCUGUACAACCACUUUUAGCAAGACGAUCGCUGCAGCAAAAUCAAUCAAGUUAAUGACUCUUUGGCCAGGUUGGUCUGUUUUCUUCAACCAAAAAAAUGGGAGCUAUACUUUCUCAGGAUUAGUUAUUUGGCAUGCAAAAUAUUUGUUUAAAAAGGGAUUGUCGCGAGUCUGAAAGAGAGCAUAAGGAACACUAUAUUUUGGUAGAUCUUGGUAUGAUAAUAGUGAAUGUUCCAUUCUACCUCAUUAGAUUUGGAUAUCUUUAAUGUAAAUACAAAAUGGCCUCUAGACGGUUGUUCAUUCAUAUGAGUCUUACCCACAGGUCCAUUUAAAUGCAGAUAACAUUAUCAUAUUCAAUACAGAUAUGCAGUUAUAGGGAUAUAUGUUGAAUUAGAAAGCCACUAUCAACAGAGCAUUUACACAAUCAACUUUGUGUUUGUUGUAUACAUAUAAUAAAUAUUUAAGCUUUAUUAGGACAGUAGGACCUAGGUCACCAACUGAAUAGGCUUCACUUUUGAGAACUUGAUUAUGCGGGUAUUUUGUACAGAAUUUGACAGCUACUCUUCCUAAGUAAAGCAAUGGUAUGACCGUAUGAGGUUGUGAAAUGUUAAAGAGAGGUUCUAUAAAUACUUGGCAUAAUGGUAUUCCUCGUAGGCAGUCUAAUUCAAGGAACAUAAAAGGCAUAUAUUGUGAUUACCUCCAUGACCAUCAAAAACAUCGAAGAACGUUGUCUCGCUACCAAGAUCUAGCAUUGUUGAAUGAUGUAUGGAUGUAUAGAUUGGUAAAUAUUAUGUCGUGGAACAAUUUUAAGAAAUAGUCUGACCGAUAAAAAUGGUAGGCAUCUUUAAAAAAUAACCAUGCUUGUAGUGUGAUGUUGAACGUACUAAAAUCAAUGUAUUAAACAUAUUAAAUGAGAUCAAAGGAUGAAAGGAAUAUGGAUUUAGUAUCAAAAGAGAGCUAAUGCCUGUAGUCUAUGACAAAUCAUUGGUUCACUCUUUACAGUGUGAUAUUGAACUUAUUAAAAUCAUUGUGUUAAACAGAUAGAAUGAGAUGAAAGGAAUAUGGUUUCAGUAUUGUUACAACUUGGUGCAAAAAUAAUAAUUGAUUUUUUGGAAGAUAAUUAGUGGUUGUUAGAUUCUUUCACUUAUUUUAAUGAGGGAGAUUUUUUCUGUCAUUUCUUAUAAAUAAAUACAAAAAGAUUUAUUGGGUUGCAUGUCAUUUCUUUUCCUAUACCUAUUUUUUUUGUAUUUAUAUGUGCAAAGAACAAAUUUAGUAUGUCAUUGAUCUGGAAAUACAUGGUAACCAAACACUCACCUAAGUUCACCUGUGGAGCCACUUUUAGCAAGACGCUUACUCCCUGCUGCUAAAUCAAUCAAGGACUACUUGGAUAUGUUGUCAUGUGUCGUGCAAUAAAAACAGAAUCCUUCUAGCCCCAGUGAACACCCUGUCCCUGAAGUAAUUGCGGCUUGGAUGGCUUUGACUGGGAGAGGGGGAAUCACGGCCAUGAAAUCAAUACCCUCCCUUUGAGAUGAUAAUGAUUGCUUUAUCUGUUCAAAGAUCUCAAAUAAUCCAUGCAUCAUACCCACAAAUUAACAAUAUCCUAUGCCAAAUAUCAGCAAGCCUCUACAGACGAAGCCAAGAAGCACCCUCAGCGGGAGUGCCUGCCCAUGUCCAUUUAUAUAUGACAUGUACCUGAAAAGGCCAGACAUGCACUUCUAAGACAUAGUAACAUACAUUUGGGAAGUUUCAAAUAAGAACAUUUGUGUAAAUAAAAAAUGCAUUCGAAGGAGCACUGUCGAAGCAGAGCAGCUACUAAUCUUGAACGGAAACCAGCUGUCAUAUCUUUGCAUGGUGUUGAGAAGAUUACCAAGCUAGAAAUUGUGUAAAUAAAAAAUGCAUUCGGAGGAGCACCGUCGAUGCAGAGCAGCUACUAAUCUUGAACGGAAACCGACUGUCAUAUCUUUGCAUGAUGUUGAGAAAGAUUAUCAAGCUAAAAUAGGAUUCAAAACAGAACUUCACUAUACCUGCAACAGCUUCAAUCCCUAGCUCCAGUUUUACGCUCCUAUUGGUUGCCGACUAUGGCAGGAACGCGCCGACGCGGGCCUCAGCGGAAGGGGCGAGGAGGCGGAGGGGGUGCAGGAGGCGGAGCUCGUCGCCACCACGGUAAAGAUGUCGCCAAGCUGGACGGCGAGGGUGGACCCGGCGGCCCAUGAGGUGGAGGCGGCAGAUGGAGAGUCGGGGCUACGGGGCAUGAGGCCGACGAGGUGGAGCACGGAGAAAGCCGAUCCACGACGCGAUGCUUCUAGGAGCAAUGGACAGCAGGCCGGUGGGUUCUUUUCCUCACCCGGUUCGUUCGCCAUCUGGAACCAUCGAGGCUAUUCCAGGAUUUGAGGAGUUUUUUCUCGGAUACUCAUGUGUCCUUCUUGAACCUGUUGGUGAAUUAUGGAAAAAAUAGUGAGUUGGUACAUAUAUUUUCAUUUAUGGACUGAUUUGUUUUUGAAUCUUUUUUUCACAAAUGGAACUUUAUGUAAAGAUACAAGAAGAACUUUAAGCAGAAUCAUAAGUGCAGGUUUUGACUCACCAUUAUCAUAACAAUUGUUUUAUAGAUUAUUGUUAAGUCUUAACAAAGUAGAACAUGACAUACAUGAUGCCUGUGAAGUUUGUUGUGUCCUAGAAUUAGAGCAUUAGACUGGAAAUAGUAUGGUAUGCACAUUGGACAUGAAGCGUCUGUUCGGCAUACAAUAUAGUGAGAUUACUAAUUAGAAAUAGCAGCUAGGCAAGGCGUAAUGCCUUAAAUCAAGUAUUCUCUUUAGGCCCAUUGAGAACGAAAGUCACUUUCUUCAAAGUAAAGCAGUAGAACUCUGUCUAAACUUGUGUUUCCUUAAUUAAAAAAAUUGUAUGGUGACCAGAAUCACUAAAAAAUUUGAAAAUUUAUGGUAACCAAACACUCACCUGAGUUUCCUUCAAGCGAUCACCUGUACAACCACUUUUAGCAAGACGAUCGCUGCAGCAAAAUCAAUCAAGUUAAUGACUCUUUGGCCAGGUUGGUCUGUUUUCUUCAACCAAAAAAAUGGGAGCUAUACUUUCUCAGGAUUAGUUAUUUGGCAUGCAAAAUAUUUGUUUAAAAAGGGAUUGUCGCGAGUCUGAAAGAGAGCAUAAGGAACACUAUAUUUUGGUAGAUCUUGGUAUGAUAAUAGUGAAUGUUCCAUUCUACCUCAUUAGAUUUGGAUAUCUUUAAUGUAAAUACAAAAUGGCCUCUAGACGGCUGUUCAUUCAUAUGAGUCUUACCCACAGGUCCAUUUAAAUGCAGAUAACAUUAUCAUAUUCAAUACAGAUAUGCAGUUAUAGGGAUAUAUGUUGAAUUAGAAAGCCACUAUCAACAGAGCAUUUACACAAUCAACUUUGUGUUUGUUGUAUACAUAUAAUAAAUAUUUAAGCUUUAUUAGGAUAGUAGGACCUAGGUCACCAACAGAAUAGGCUUCACUUUUGAGAACUUGAUUAUGCGGGUAUUUUGUACAGAAUUUGACAGCUACUCUUCCUAAGUAAAGCAAUGGUAUGACCGUAUGAGGUUGUGAAAUGUUAAAGAGAGGUUCUAUAAAUACUUGGCAUAAUGGUAUUCCUCGUAGGCAGUCUAAUUCAAGGAACAUAAAAGGCAUAUAUUGUGAUUACCUCCAUGACCAUCAAAAACAUCGAAGAACGUUGUCUCGCUACCAAGAUCUAGCAUUGUUGAAUGAUGUAUGGAUGUAUAGAUUGGUAAAUAUUAUGUCGUGGAACAAUUUUAAGAAAUAGUCUGACCGAUAAAAAUGGUAGGCAUCUUUAAAAAAUAACCAUGCUUGUAGUGUGAUGUUGAACGUACUAAAAGCAAUGUAUUAAACAUAUUAAAUGAGAUCAAAGGAUGAAAGGAAUAUGGAUUUAGUAUCAAAAGAGAGCUAAUGCCUGUAGUCUAUGACAAAUCAUUGGUUCACUCUUUACAGUGUGAUAUUGAACUUAUUAAAAUCAUUGUGUUAAACAAAUAAAAUGAGAUGAAAGGAAUAUGGUUUCAGUAUUGUUACAACUUGGUGCAAAAAUAAUAAUUGAUUUUUUGGAAGAUAAUUAGUGGUUGUUAGAUUCUUUCACUUAUUUUAAUGAGGGAGAUUUUUUCUGUCAUUUCUUAUAAAUAAAUACAAAAAGAUUUAUUGGGUUGCAUGUCAUUUCUUUUCCUAUACCUAUUUUUUUGUAUUUAUAUGCGCAAAGAACAAUUUUAGUAUGUCAUUGAUCUGGAAAUACAUGGUAACCAAACACUCACCUAAGUUCACCUGUGGAGCCACUUUUAGCAAGACGCUUACUCCCUGCUGCUAAAUCAAUCAAGGACUACUUGGAUAUGUUGUCAUGUGUCGUGCAAUAAAAACAGAAUCCUUCUAGCCCCAGUAAACACCCUGUCCCUGAAGUAAUUGCGGCAUGGAUGGCUUUGA